GUUUAGAUAGUUUAAAAAAAAUAUUGGCUUGUGGCGCCGAAGAUAUAAAUAAUUUAUUCUAGACC
rnacentral:tRNA from 1 species